rnacentral:rRNA from 1 species
CACGGCCCAGACUCCUACGGGAGGCAGCAGUAGGGAAUCUUCCGCAAUGGACGAAAGUCUGACGGAGCAACGCCGCGUGAGUGAUGAAGGUUUUCGGAUCGUAAAGCUCUGUUGUUAGGGAAGAACAAGUACCGUUCGAAUAGGGCGGUACCUUGACGGUACCUAACCAGAAAGCCACGGCUAACUACGUGCCAGCAGCCGCGGUAAUACGUAGGUGGCAAGCGUUGUCCGGAAUUAUUGGGCGUAAAGGGCUCGCAGGCGGUUUCUUAAGUCUGAUGUGAAAGCCCCCGGCUCAACCGGGGAGGGUCAUUGGAAACUGGGGAACUCGAGUGCAGAAGAGGAGAGUGGAAUUCCACGUGUAGCGGUGAAAUGCGUAGAGAUGUGGAGGAACACCAGUGGCGAAGGCGACUCUCCGGUCUGUAACUGACGCUGAGGAGCGUAAGCGUGGGGAGCGAACAGGAUUAGAUACCCUGGUAGUCCACGCCGUAAACGAUGAGUGCUAAGUGUUAGGGGGUUUCCGCCCCUUAGUGCUGCAGCUAACGCAUUAAGCACUCCGCCUGGGGAGUACGGUCGCAAGACUGAAACUCAAAGGAAUUGACGGGGGCCCGCACAAGCGGUGGAGCAUGUGGUUUAAUUCGAAGCAACGCGAAGAACCUUACCAGGUCUUGACAUCCUCUGACAAUCCUAGAAAUAGGACGUCCCCUUCGGGGGCAGAGUGACAGGUGGCGCAUGGUUGUCGUCAGCUCGUGUCGUGAGAUGUUGGGUU